GCCCGGCUAGCUCAGUCGGUAGAGCAUGAGACGCUUAAUCUCAGGGUCGUGGGUUCGAGCCCCACGUUGGACG
rnacentral:tRNA from 1 species